ensembl:lncRNA
AAAAGGGAGGAGGUUAUCUUAAAAAAAAAAAACCCAAAACUCUGUGAGUUGUGAGGGAUUGUGUCUGAUUUAGGAUCAAUAUAAAAAAUGUAAGAAAGCAGAUCAUCUUUUUUUUUAUCUGCGAGUAAAGAUCUCUUCUGAAUCUGUCAUUGAUAAGUAUCUCUUUGUGCUUUUACAGUACAGAGUUGUCAUGUGUUGGAUAUAUAGAAUGACAGGGCUGUCGCUGCUUGAAGGGAAUCCAAAGGCCGUGCUGUUCCCACUUGUGAGUGCUGACUGAAGGCAGCAGGGGUUUAACUUUGGCUUUGUCUCAGGCCAUCUUGCAGUUUCAGCUUCCCUGUCUGCUGGUUUUGCAGAGCCGGGGUGAUGCCUCUGCGGUGAUGCUGCUUUGCAGGUUGCACGAGUGUUUGUUUUUCCAUUCUGCACUUACACAUUUCUAUGUAAUAUAUUACAGUGUCCUCUCUUAAAUAGCCUCCACUUUUUUCAGGCUACUCACGCAAUUUGUCAGGAUGACUUAAAUCCCAGUCCUUUCCUCCGGCGUACUCAUUAACACCUGAUCCAGCCAGUCAUCAAGAUCAUUAAUGAAAGUACUGAAUGAGAUUAGCUUGAAGACAGACCUCUGUAAACCCUGCUUUUAAUAUAUCCUCCCAAACAGCAUACUGGUGAUAACGACCUUUAGCACUCUCCCUACAGCAUCGUGUUCAGGCAGUUGAAAGUUCUGUUCUGACCUGCAAGACUGCCCUCACUGCAUUGACUCCUUCUGUGCUAUAGGCACAGCCCGAAAUCUGAGAUAUCUCAGACACCCGGGUGCCCUUUGUCCAAGCCCAGUCUGGGUCCAGUUCCAACCCUGCAGCUCUUCUCUCUUGUCUUAAUCACAGCAAACUGUGUGUAUCUGUUGUGGCGGAGAGGCUGCAAGAUUUGCAGAUGAACUGAGCAAUAGUUUGGUGGCAAAGAUGAAUCCUUAAAAGGGUUUUUUUCAUAUUGAAAUUAAUAGGGGAUUUCACUUCAGAUGGGUGUUCUGCCCCAUUUCAAUAAUAUGGUAUUACCAAGUGCGAUUAAAAUGUUUUUUCCUAAUAUUUAAUAAUCAAAGAAGACCGUUGAUAAGUUUUCCCCCCCUUUUCUGGCCUUGUAAUAUGCACGUAAUAAAUUAAUCAGCUAACGUCAUGAGGGGUUGUGGGAUUUCAGGCCAUCUGAGCACGUAGCUAUGAGGACGCUUUCUGCACCUUUGCAUGCAACAAAUGCAGAGCAGCCCAGCUUCACCCAUGUCCACUGUGAGGCAAACAGUUCCUGGCUAUGUUUGCUAUGGCCUGAGCUCUGGGAAGUGCUCUCUCACUCCAUCAGCCCUACUGCACUUGCUUGUUUUUUUCCCCUACAAACUGAAAAAGAGGAGGGAAAUGUAUCUUUGCAACCACGCAAGCAAGAAUUAGCCCAACUGUAUUUUACAGGUAAACUAACAAAUAAGAGCAAUCUGAGCAGCCCCAGGGAGCUGAAUUUGUUUGCCGCUGGGCUGUUCUAUCUGCAGCUGGCAUCGGUGGAAACCUGAGUGCUCCAUUAAAAGUCGACAACCUCUGUUUGCUGGGGCACGGGGCAAACAGAGCCAGCCUGUUCUGCAGACAGACUGACUGCCUUCAUCCACCCCCCCCAACACCCUGCUGGUGAUGGGAAAUGAUGGGACUGGAACAAAAAGCUUGAAACUAGGACUCUGUACACUUACCCUGUGGCCGUUGUACCAAGGAGGAGUAGUGACACAAGACACAACACUUCAGCUAAAGGUCAGUGUAGUAGCGCACAGGAAGUACACUGAGCUUCGAUGGUAUCACAGUGUGAAGGGAAAUGGAUGGUGCUAACCCAAACACAAGGGAAGUGGUCUUUCCACUCUGAGUCUACAGAUAUUUGAAUGGUAAGUUUGUCAGUUUUCCUGUGCCAUAGCAUGCGUCUUUACCCUGUCCUUGCUGCUGUCUGUCCUGUGUUCCAACUCCUGUUUGCAUCAGCAGAGCUCUUUGGUGCAGCCAGUGACUUGCUGUUCCUCACAGACUUAAGGCUGUGUUCUGUUAAUUAAUGUUUUUUCGUUACUUGCCAUGUUCUUUUGGCGUCUGAGUGUGUCAGCCAUUCAGAAGUGACACCGGUGUUCUGGAAUUGCUGAGGGUUUGGGCAUAAUCCUGCUAUCCUUUUACGUUUCAUAAUACUUGGAAUUGAAACAGCGUGUAGAGGGAGUGUUCCUCUACCCAGCUGCCUGUUGUUCAUCUUCAGUUAUUCUGUGACCUCUUGGUAACAGCCAACAUUGCUCUAAAAGCUUGAGCACAGAAAUGAACGCUGUAGUAUCCUUUUGUUUGUAGCUUUCCACCAGGUGGUAGGGACCUAGAUUGAAGCAUUUCUCUAAUUACUUUCUGAAGGUACAGGUGGUGUCCCAUGAGCAGGAUUUUCAGAAGUAAUAGCCUUAGCCAUACUCUGGUGGAAGUCAAAGUGGGUUUAUGGCUGACUUCAGUGUGAUGGGCAUGCCCACACCAUCAUGUUGCACUGCGUAGCUGUGUGAGUGGCACUGGUGAUCUACAGAAGAGUUCUUCAUUGCACUAUAUGGAUGUACCCAGAAUUAGGAUGUUUUCCCCAGAACUGCAGGGAUUGGGCCUCCUAGUUCGUGGGCAUUCUCUGAUGCCAGGAUAGCUAUCCAUAAACCUCUUGAACACAGUGAACGCUGGCAUCCCCACAGAGGAGUUAGGAAGGGAGAAAGGCUGGGAAGGGUAACAGACAAGCACAGACCAUUAAAUGCAUUUGGAUGUUGCGUUUUGGUUAUAAUAGCGUUUGAAACCAAAGGAUAAUCCUCUGCAAAAACAGGGGAAGGAUGACUCCACAAGAAGAAAUGCUCUUAGCUUACAGCUUGUGACCCUGCUUUGUGUCAUUUGUCCAUGGUGUUGCGCUGCACGAGAAUGAUCCAAAGCAGUUGUGUGUUGAAUGAAGCAGUAUGAGAUCCCACUAGAAGGGAUCUGUGGUUGUGCCGUACUGCUAUGCAGAAGUCUUGAAACUUUCUGCUUCUUCCCUGGAUGUUCUGGCUAGUCUGAGGUAUGAGGGGAUGCUUGAGGUCUUACCUUUUUCACAGAAGUUUAUAGAAUCUGCACGAAGAAUAUAAAUCAAGGUUUGGGGUGGUGGAGUGGGUGGCAGGAAUAGGGUACAGCAAAGCCACGCAGGUGUUUCUGUUGGUUUGUAAUUAGCUUUUAAGCCCUCUCCCUGCACCAUGCAUAGGUCCAAGUCUACUGCGUGGCCUUGUGGAUUCUGAGACAUCAGAGGCAUUGGGGUAGGGAAGAAGCCCAGUGACCUCAAUG